AUUGAACGCUGGCGGCAUGCCUUACACAUGCAAGUCGAACGGUAACGGGCCUUCGGGUGCCGACGAGUGGCGGACGGGUGAGUAAUACAUCGGAACGUGCCCGAUCGUGGGGGAUAACGAGGCGUAAGCUUUGCUAAUACCGCAUACGAUCUACGGAUCAACGCCGGGGACCGCAAGGCCUUGCGCGGGCGGAGCGGCCGAUGGCGGCUGAGGUAGUUGGUGGGCUAAACGCUUUCCAAGCCGACGAUCUGUACCUGGACUGGGAGGGAGAUCGGCCACAUGGGAACGGGGACACGGACCAGGCUCCUACGGGAGGCAGCAGUGGGCAAUUUUGGACAAUGGGCGCAAGCCUUAUCCAGCCAUGCCGCGUGCAGGAUGAAGGCCUUCGGGUUGUAAACUGCGUUUGUACGGAACGAAAAGCCUUCGUUUAAGACAGGAGGGUCAUGACGGUACCGGAAGAAUAAGCACCGGCUAACUACGUG
rnacentral:rRNA from 1 species